GAUGAACGCUAGCGGCAGGCUUAACACAUGCAAGUCGAGGGGCAGCGCGAUGUAGCAAUACAUUGGCGGCGACCGGCGCACGGGUGCGUAACACGUAUGGAACUUACCCUUUACUGGGAGAUAGCCCGGAGAAAUCCGGAUUAAUAUCCCAUAAUAAACGAGGUGGCAUCACUUUGUUUUGAAAGCUCCGGCGGUAAAGGAUGGCCAUGCGCACGAUUAGCUAGUAGGUGAGGUAACGGCUCACCUAGGCUACGAUCGUUAGGGGGCCUGAGAGGGUUAUCCCCCACACUGGUACUGAGACACGGACCAGACUCCUACGGGAGGCAGCAGUGAGGAAUAUUGCGCAAUGGAGGCAACUCUGACGCAGCCAUGCCGCGUGCAGGAAGAAGGCGCUACGCGUUGUAAACUGCUUUUAAACCGGGAGAAACCCCAGGACGUGUCCUGGGUUNACGGUACCGGAGGAAUAAGCACCGGCUAACUUCGUGCCAGCAGCCGCGGUG
rnacentral:rRNA from 1 species